rnacentral:rRNA from 1 species
UACGUAGGGAGCAAGCGUUGUCCGGAAUUACUGGGCGUAAAGGGUGCGUAGGCUGUUUGGAAAGUCAGAUGUGAAAUCCCCGGGCUUAACUCGGGUGUUGCAUUUGAAACUUCCAGACUUGAGUGCAGGAGAGGAAAGCGGAAUUCCUAGUGUAGCGGUGAAAUGCGUAGAUAUUAGGAGGAACACCAGUGGCGAAGGCGGCUUUCUGGACUGUAACUGACGCUGAGGCACGAAAGCGUGGGGAGCAAACAGG